GGGCCCGCACAAGCGGUGGAGCAUGUGGUUUAAUUCGAUGAUACGCGAGGAACCUUACCAGGACUUAAAUGUAAGUUGCAUGAUUCAGAAAUGGAUCUUUCUUCGGACUACUUACAAGGUGCUGCAUGGUUGUCGUCAGCUCGUGCCGUGAGGUGUCAGGUUAAGUCCUAUAACGAGCGCAACCCCUAUCGUUAGUUGCCAGCAGUUCGGCUGGGCACUCUAUGGAAACUGCCCGUGAUAAGCGGGAGGAAGGUGUGGAUGACGUCAAGUCCUCAUGGCCCUUACGGGUUGGGCUACACACGUGCUACAAUGGUAGUGACAAUGGGUUAAUCCCAAAAAGCUAUCUCAGUUCGGAUUGUCGUCUGCAACUCGACGGCAUG
rnacentral:rRNA from 1 species